AUUGAACGCUGGCGGCAGGCCUAACACAUGCAAGUCGAACGCGUGGCGGACGUGUGAGUAAUUUCUGGGAAACUGCCCUAUGGAGGGAGAUCACUACUGGAAACGGUAGCUAAUACCGCAUACCCUCGGAUGUGCCCAGAUGGGAUUAGCAAGUAGGUGGGGUAAUGGCUCACCUAGGCGACGAUCCCUAGCUGGUCUGAGAGGAUGACCAGCCACACUGGAACUGAGACACGGUCCAGACUCCUACGGGAGGCAGCAGUGGGGAAUAUUGCACAAUGGGCGCAAGCCUGAUGCAGCCAUGCCGCGUGUAUGAAGAAGGCCUUCGGGUUGUAAAGGACUUUCAGCGAGGAGGCGUUACUCGCAGAAGAAGCACCGGCUAACUCCGUGCCAGCAGCCGCGGUAAUUC
rnacentral:rRNA from 1 species